GGGUCGGAGAAUCCCUUCAACGAUAGGGACUUGAUCAGGCGGCUGAUCGACGACUGCAUUCUGCCUGACGUCGUUGAGAGGAUCGACCGUGCCGAUCCUGAGCAGCGGGCCUGGGACUCUUUGGGGUCUUUCCUUGAGGUAAGCGGAUCUUCAUUUACACGGCUAUUCGGCCUUUGUUCUAAUUCCCUAGCCUCCCUUGCAGAUCGGGCACCAGCUCCUCGCCUAUAUCGAGGCGGUGAGCCGCACGAGGAGGGACAUUCUCCAGGUG
rnacentral:lncRNA from 1 species